GGGCGACGGUAGCCACGGAGACGGGGCUCCAGGCUGCGCACCAGAUCGCCCACUGAAGGGUGAACUGACGGGCGAGGGCCAGGAGGCUCCAAGUCGCUCGCCGCCGCUGCCGCUGAUGUCCCAGCCUUGGCCGCAAAUCGAACUCGGUAGUGGUGGUGGUGGUGGAAGCGGUUGCAGGAUAACCCCUCUGGCACGCUCUCUGCGGCUCGUGCUGGUGCAGUCGUCCGCUGCGGGGAGACACGAGAAGAACAAAACGGACAUUGGAUGAGCACAAGAUGGAGCAGAGCAAUUUCCUUCAGCUGGGACGGAGAGGCGAGAAGGGGCCCACUCGAGCGCGUCCUCACCGAUUCCUCACCUGCACACGCCCUGCCACCACUCGCCCAUCUCUCACCUUCUGAACAUCCUCCACCAAACC